CUGGCUCAGGAUGAACGCUAGCUACAGGCUUAACACAUGCAAGUCGAGGGGCAGCAUUGGGAUAGCUUGCUAUUCAGAUGGCGACCGGCGCACGGGUGAGUAACGCGUAUCCAACCUUCCUGCCAGUAGGGAACAGCCCGGCGAAAGUCGGAUUAAUGCCCUAUGUUCUUCAAUGCGGACAUCUAAGUUGAAGGAAAGAUUCAUCGCUGGCAGAUGGGGAUGCGUCCGAUUAGCUUGCCGGCGGGGUAACGGCCCACCGGGGCGACGAUCGGUAGGGGUUCUGAGAGGAAGGUCCCCCACACUGGUACUGAGACACGGACCAGACUCCUACGGGAGGCAGCAGUGAGGAAUAUUGGUCAAUGGGCGUAAGCCUGAACCAGCCAAGUAGCGUGCAGGAAUGACGGCCCUACGGGUUGUAAACUGCUUUUAUGCGGGGAUAAAGUGCGGCACGUGUGCCGCUUUGCAGGUACCGCAUGAAUAAGGACCGGCUAAUUCCGUGCCAGCAGCAGC
rnacentral:rRNA from 1 species